CCUACGGGGUGCAGCAGUGAGGAAUAUUGGUCAAUGGCCGAGAGUCUGAACCAGCCAAGUCGCGUGAAGGAUGACGGCCCUAUGGGUUGUAAACUUCUUUUGUCGGGGAGUAAAACGAACCACGUGUGGGUCAUUGAGAGUACCCGACGAAAAAGCAUCGGCUAACUCCGUGCCAGCAGCCGCGGUAAUACGUAGGGGCCAAGCGUUAUCCGGAUUUACUGGGUGUAAAGGGAGCGUAGACGGCAGUGCAAGUCCGGUGUGAAAGGUGGGGGCUCAACACCCGGACUGCUCUGGAAACUGUACGGCUGGAGGGCAGGAGAGGUAAGUGGAAUUCCUAGGGUAGCGGUGAAAUGCGUAGAUAGUAGAAGGAACACCAGUGGCGAAGGCGGCUUACUGGACUGUAACUGACGUUGAGGCUCGAAAGCGUGGGGAGCAAACAGGAUUAGAUACCCGAGUAGUC
rnacentral:rRNA from 1 species